rnacentral:pre_miRNA from 1 species
UACUUCCUCCUUCCGUUCGAAAAUACUUGUCGAAGAAAGGACGUAUCUAGAUGUAUUUUAAUUAUAGAUACAUCUAUUCUUAUUCAUUUUUGCAACAAGUAAUUCGGGACGGAGGGAAAAGGAG